UCAACACCGUAAAUAAUUAAGUACAUUCUUACAGAUAGAGGAAGUUAAAUGAAUGCAAUUAAACAAUCAAGGGUAUUUUGUGAAUCAAUGCUUGUUUACUCUGUUCUUAAAAGAAGGUAUAACUUGACCAUUUACUUGAAAAGGUUACAUGAUGGAAAUCAUAAAAAUGAUGCUUCUAGCGGCAAUAUUUCUAUUGAAUGCUCGAUCUGCCGAAGGCUUUGAAAUACGAUUGUUGCCAACAAACUCACAAGGCACAGAGGGUUU